rnacentral:rRNA from 1 species
GCAGUAGCCACGGUAAUACGUAGGUGGCAAGCGUUGUCCGGAAUUAUUGGGCGUAAAGGGCUCGCAGGCGGUUUCUUAAGUCUGAUGUGAAAGCCCCCGGCUCAACCGGGGAGGGUCAUUGGAAACUGGGAAACUUGAGUGCAGAAGAGGAGAGUGGAAUUCCACGUGUAGCGGUGAAAUGCGUAGAGAUGUGGAGGAACACCAGUGGCGAAGGCGACUCUCUGGUCUGUAACUGACGCUGAGGAGCGAAAGCUAGGGGAGCAAAUGGGAUUAGAUACCCCCGUAGUCCCUGUCUCUUAUAC